UCCUCCUCUGAAAAAAAAACCAAAUCUCCUAUUUUGACCGAAGAAGUAAGACAGUAGUGAAAUGAUGCUUCAGAAUGAACUCUAAUAUGACAGACCUGAAGGCUCAGAAGAGGCAAAUCUCUUUCACACCUUUAAACCAGAAACAUCAAAAGCAUCUGGAAAUUGAAUUUUCACAGUAGGGGAUGGAAAGGAAAGACCAUAUGUGUUGGACACCUGGAUCCCUGCAGAAUGGUUCUAAUUAUGAGGACAAGCUGCCAACAAACUCAUGAUUCUCUGUCUCCAAGUUGCAGGAUUACAGAAAGAGAUCCUUGGAUCUUAUCUCCUUUGGUAAAACAAAUCUAUCAACUUUAUAAAUUCAUUUGGAUUGUAUAAUCUAACUGUAGUAUUAAUCUCCAUCCAUGCCAAAUAAAAGGAAGGCUUGUUAUAAUAAGUCAUGAAGAUUCUAUAGCCAACAAGAUUCAUCAAAUCCCAUCCUGUCUCAGAGCUGUUUCCAUACAGAGGGGUUAACAUACACAUCACCUCUCUGCGGUCUCUCCUAGCUUCCUCCCUCAUAUUUGCAUUCAGUAUCCUCAAGAGUCCUCCCAUGAUCAAACCUGAUCUUUAUUAAUUUGAAGAAAUUCAUAGCUUUAUAUUUCUUGUGGAAACAAAAUCAUAAUCUCUCCACAAUCCAGGACUUUUCCUGGUCUCCAGGACGUUUCCUGGUUUCCAUUCUGAAGCCAAGAUAUACAAAUGUAGACAGCCUGGUUUAAUUGAGUAGUCCCUUCCACAAUCCAAUGUCUCUCAGCAGCUGCCAGUCUCUGUUCAUUAGCAUUCAAUAAAUUCAAAAUUAAUAAAGCGCCAUAUAAGUACAAA